UAUAUAUAUAUAUAUAUAUAUAUAUAUAUAUAUAUAUAUAUAUAUAUAUAUAUAUAUAUAUAUAUAUACACACACACACACACUAUGAGUUCGGCUACUAUAAUACUCUUAUAAGUAUAGAGCAUUUUGUACUCAUAAGUAUUUUGCCAUUAGAUCUACCCUUUAAUCAUUUUCAUCCGUUAGAUAAUACUAUUCAACUAAUCACCCACUCAACCCUAAGGGGCUCACUAUCAAUCUAAUCGUAACCACUCUCAUCCUAAACUUACAUUUUUUCAUCCGAAGGAUAAAAACUUAUGAGUACAAGGAGCUAUAUACUCAUAUGAGUAUAGUAGUCCCAGUCUAUAUACUAUCUGUAAAUAAUAUUUCUAGCCCAACUCACUAAAAGUUAUAGUAAAAAAAUUGUGUAAAAUUGGAAUAAAAGUAAUCCUUUGAGCACUCAACUUAGAAGAUCUCCUCAAUGGCUUCUUGGGUUGACAAAGUAAAAAAUUAUAAAGUUUCAAGGAAAAGUAAAAAAAGUCAUGAAGUGAUAAAAAUGUUUUACGAUUAUUAGAACCCAUGGCAGAAUCGUAAAUUGGGAAUGGGUCACAGCCUCGUGCCCGGAGUGUGUGACACGGUUGUUGUUUGGGUUGACGAAUUAAGAUCUACGUAGAACCUUUAUUUAUUUAUUUAUUUAUUUAUUAAAGCUUUUGCUUCAGGGACACGUGUCGAAAUCUGGGGUGUGGUUGUCCAUGAAAGUUGAUCUCUUCAGGAAGAAUAAUCUGCUUGGCUUUUCUCCUACCAGUCUCCCAGGAAUUAAGAAAGAGGGAGAUCGAUGCCCCUUCCAGAAACAAAAAAAAAUAAAAUCUGAUUUUAUUAUCUCUUAAAGUAAAUAUACAUCGACCAACUUAUUUUACUACUGGUGAUAGAGUGCUAGACUAGCUUGUUGUUUUUUUUUUUUUUUUUUUGGGUAAGGCAAAAUGUCUAGAAAACUCUCUCAACUGUAGGACAUUCCAAAAUACAUCUUCUAACUAAUUUUACUUUAUUGGUACAUGCUAAGAUUUUGAUUUUUCAGUUUACAUUGUUUUCGCCAGUGAAAUAUGAAAUUUUGUUAUUAAUUCAACCGCCUUCGAAUUCCUUUUUAGACGAUGAAAAUAUGAAUUUUGUUAAUUGUUGACGAACUGCAAUUACCAGAGGUGUUAAUUUAAACAAAACUUUAAUUUAGUCUAUAUAUAUAUAUAUAGGAAACUAAUUCAAAUUAAAACCAAUCAAAGGUUGAGUAGUAGUUUAAAGGGAAAAAAAAGAAAGAAAGAAAGAAAAAGUUUUGAGGGUUUAGUGCAAAAUGGCCUACGUUUGAGUGGUGUCUCCGUGCAUUUUAACCUUUCCUUUGUAUAUAAUAAAAGGUGUACGUAGCUUAAUUU
rnacentral:lncRNA from 1 species